UCGUUCUUCAACAAUGCUUGCGCGGGAAAUAAAGUUCGGCUGGAGACCUCCGAAACUCCCAUCUUUCUCCUUCGCGCCGGCUCUGAGCAACAGACCUUCGAAAAUCUCAUCUUUAUCCUCCUCCGCGCCACUCGAGCUACUUGGGAAGGCAACGACUUGAUCGCGGAUUGCGCAGAUCUCUGGUACUAUUUGGACAUCAAUACUUUUCCUAAUUUUCUGAAUGGAGGAAGGAGCUAAUGUGACUGCAAACUCUGUUCAUCCAGGAUCAGUCAUGAAAUAUUUGAUGCGGCGCUCUCUGCUUCAUCCUGAUGAGGCUGAAGUGUAGAAAUUACAGUAGAGGCGACUGAUAUGACAUUUGUAUUUCUGAGUAUCUUUUUAGUUAUGUAAUAUUUGUUCCAAAAGUAAGCUUGAGAAGGUUCAUCACCAACUUCUUUAUAAAAUUGAAUGGAAUAAGAAGGCUGAUCCUGAAGGAAUUUAAGGGAGAAGAAUCAGUAUGUUCUAGUCUUUAAUUAUUAUCAUUAUUU